CAGCAAAUGAAGGGAAUUUUCCCAAGGGUCUCUGUAGCGGGGCCUUCCAUUGGCUGUUUCCUUUGUGCAGGGCUGGCACUGCCCAGCAAGGUGGGCUCAGAAUUGGAGGCCCAGAGAAUAUAGCCUCUCCCUGGCUUUUACCCUAUCUCUGAUUUCUGCAACUGUUUUAAUUAAUUAAUGAUUUAUUUAUCAGAUGUGUAUAAUGGCGAGUCAACAUUUCUUUUAAGGAGGAGUGAGUAAUACAAAAGACACUUGAUUCAUGAAUACUAAGCCAUGCUUAGCAUCUUGGUAGAGCAGACUCUGGAGGUGACUUUAUGUAGACUGUGACCAAGCUGUCUGUGUCCCAUUAUAAAAGAUCAUAGAAGGGAUUCGUGUAACAGGAAGGGCAGGAAGGGCAUGUUGGAUAGACUCAAAGAAGAGCUCCCACUCUAUGGACUUGACUGUGGAAGCCCCUGGAGGUGAGAAAUGAUGCUUUCCCAUCUCCUGCCCCGCCAAUCCCCUGUCAGUGUCUAUACUUCUGGAGCCCAUUCAGGAGUUGCCAUAGCAGAUGUCCUAGCUUAUCCAGGGAGAAUCAUGGGCUUCUCUUCCCUGCUACUCUGAAUAAAUACCUGUGGUAUUUUUAGCUAGCAAUCCAAGUCAAGGAUUUCAUUCUCUCCGGUCCUGAGUUCGUUGAGGAUGAGAUGUGUUUCAUUCACCUGAGUUUCCAAUACCUAAGGACGUACCUGGCCAUUUGGAUAUGCUAAGUUAGCUGUUGGUUCCUCAAGAACAUUCUUUCUUCAAAUCUUGCUAACUUUGAAGAAUUCAGUCUCAUCAGGUGGUGGUUGCACACGUCUUUAGUCCCAGCCCUUGGGAGGCAGAGGCAGAUGGAUCUCUGUGAGUUCGAGGCCAGCCUCAUCUACAGAGAGAGUUCUAGGACAGCCAGGGCUGUUGUACAGAGAAACCCUGUCUUGAAACAAACCAACCAACCAACCCCCCCCAAAAAAAAAACCCAGAAACCAAGAAGUUCAGUCUCCAGUGCCAGCAUUUAUUGUAUGUUGUGUGCUUGUGUGUGUGUGUGUGUGUGUGCACGGAGGCUGUAGGAUGAUUUAGUAUUGUUAUUUAGGUACUCACCUUAUUUUGAGACAGGGUCACUCAUUGGCCUGGAGUGAACUGAUUAGAUGAGCCCAGCUGGUCAGUAGGUCCUAGGGAUCCACCUGUCUCUGCCUCCCCAGCAUUGGGAUCACAGGUAUGCCUUUCUUUGUGGUUCUGGGGAUUGAACUCAGGUCCUCAAGUUUGUAAAGCAAGAACUUUACCAUUGGAGCCAUCUUGCCAAGCUUUAAAGCUAGCAUGUCAAGACACAGAUACUCUCAUGCUCUGCCAGGAAGCAUACAAACAGGCUGGGUGGUGGCAACACACACCUUUAGUCCCAGCACUUGGGAGGCAGAGGCAGGCAGAUCUCUGUGAGUUCGAGGCCAGCCUGGUCUAUAGAGUGAGUUCCAGGACAGCCAGGGCUAUUACACAGAGAAACCCUGUCUCAAAAAUCAAAACACAAACAAACAAAAAAGAAUAUGAACAGGUUGAACUUUUCUGGAGUGAUUUUUAGUAAAUAUUCAAAACUCUUAGAAUUUUGUACUGUUUAGGUCUAAUUCUUUUCCUUUCUCCUGAGUGGUUAGUGGAUGGUUUUUCAUAAAGAUAUUGGUAUGAUUAUAUUCAUAGCAAUGAUUUUUUAAAACGAGACCAAAAAUUGAGGCAAUAGUAUUGUGGACUCACAUGAAUAAAUUUUGUUUUCUAUACAUCAUAGAAUACCAUGCAGCUAUUACAAUUGAUGGUGGAAGAAUAUUGUUUGGUUUGUUUGAACAGGGUUUCUCUGUGCAGCCCUGGCUGUCCUGAAACUCGAUCUAUAGAUCAGGCUGGCCUCGAACUCACAGAGAUCCACCUGCCUCUACCUCCUGAAUGCUGGGAUUAAAGGUGUGUGCCACCAUAGCUUGGCUUGUGGAAGAAUAUUUGUUAAUCAAAUGAGAGUGACAAAAACAGCCACAAAACAGUGUACGAUCUGAGAGAUGCUCGGUGACUAAGAGCGUUUGCCGCUUUUGAGAAGAGCCUGGUUUGGUUCUAAGCUCACAAUUGUUGGAGCUCCAGAUCCAGUGGGGUCUGACAUCUGUGGAAUUCCAGCUCCAGUGGGGUCUGACAGACACCCUCUUCUGGUAUCUGAAGGCAACUGUACAUAGACCCUCCCCAAUAAAAAUAAAUAAAUAUAAGUCUUUUAAAAAGAUGAUAAUAAUCCAGUUCCUUAGUCACACUGGUUACUUUAAGACCAUUCAGUAGCUGUAUGGAUGGAGCAAUUGGAGAUCAACCCCUCAAUUUUCAGGGAGGGAGAGAAACCAGAAAGGCUCCUACAGGUGGAUCUUCUCCUCCUCACAGCCCUAAGACUUUUUCAUGCCUAGUCUCGCCCGCAGAACAGACCUGAAUGGACCCAUCAUCCAGAGUUAGAACGACUGUGUGCCUAGAAAGCCCCUUCUGCUUCCUGUCCCCACCAUCUGCCUCCAGCUUGAGGAUGUUUAUACUGAAUGUCUCAUUUCAAGGAUGCAACAAGUCCAAGCCCUCUGAUCUGCUGCUCAGCCUGUCUAGCCCCCAGGCAAGCUGUUUACAUGGAAUCCAAGUGCUCCACCAGGGGCAGAAUACAUUUUUCCACAGCUGCUGAGAAAGAUGAGCAGGUCGGGGCAGAAUAACAAAAAGCCACUUCAAAAACACACCAGAAGAAGUCACGAAGCUGAGACAAUCACAGGUUUGAAACAUCCCCUCCUCCCAAAGGCCUGACAAGAGAGUAAAAACAAGUCACCAGGGAGCCUGGGCCCUGCUGGUUUCGAGCUCUGUGUGGUUGGUGCCUUGAGAACCGGGCCUGUCCCUGCACUUCUGAGAGGAGCCAGGUCUUGAGGUUGUGGGGGCUCAGAAACCUCACCUGAGUUCUGAGAAUUGUGGGGCCUGGGGGGACAGUCCCUAGGUGCUCAGUGUCUCUGGGAAGAUGAGGGGGGAGACUGUGGGAAAGGCAGGGCCAGGAUGGAUGGGCACAGGAGUGGGGGUUCCUCUUGUCCAGAGAACAGCUAGAGUAAGGCAGUAGAGUCCCGUCUUGCCUCCCGCUUAGGAGGAACCUAUUGCCCCAGAAGGCAAGGCAUCACAGAGUUUAUGUGUCAGGGGAAGCUAAAGGCAUAAAGUCACUCGUAUUCACAGAAUUUUUCCUCUGGGACCUAUGGCUUCUCUCCUCAACUCCAUUCUCCUUUGUAGGGCAGUUGCUCUCAAUGAGGACGACCUGGAGUUUGGAGGUAUUGGCUCAAGUUGCUGUGAGACCUUAGGUUACUUAUAUAACACUCUACUAAAUGAACUACAUCUCCUGCUAAAACGAAGCAGAGUAUUGGGAGAGGCUAAGCUCUGGGUUUUGUUUGUUUAUUUGUUUGUUUUUUGAGACAUAAGGCUCAGACUAACCUCUAACUCACUGUGUGGUUGAGGAUGACCUCAGAGUUGUUCCUUUACCUCCCAAGUGUUGGGAUUACAGGUAUGCUCAGUUAGUUUGGGUUUGCUGUCUAGGUUUUCUUUCUUUCUUUUCUUUCCUUUUCCUAGUUUGGAAACAGGGUCUCAAAGAUGUAACCCAGACUAGCUUCCAGUCUCAGCUUCUCAAGUCCUGAACUCACAGACAUGCACCUCCAUGCCUGCUUUUGACCUUCAUUUCUUGCCCUGCACAGUGUAGCCUUAGUUUAGAAGGUGAGCUCUCAACCUUGGCUGCAUGUUGAAAUCACCUAGGAGGUUCAACAAUCAAUCAAUCAAUCAAUCAGUCAAUCAAUCAUCAAUCAAUCAAUCGAUGUGAUUCUCAGUGUCCUGGGACAAACCCUGGUCAACAGCAGUUUUCAAAGCUCUUCAAAUGAUUCUAAUGUCCAGACAAGGACUGUGAUCCUCCUAGAAUGUCUCAAAGUUUGGUGUGUUCAGGAAUCACCUGGGAUCUUAGAUAUUACAGCUGGUCCAGUGUAGAUUCUGACAGCUUGUAUUUCUGCUAAACCCACAGGUGAUGCCCAGGGACCACACUUGGAGUCAUAGCUGUCCAUGUUUAUGUUCCUGUCACUGGAACUGAACCAGGAAGCUGGGUGUGAAGCUCCCCAAACUCAACCCGAGUUUGGGUUCCCUCCAGUAACACCAUGUUUAUGCAAGUGGCCAGCCAAGUUCCUGUUGCCAUGCCUUUCCUGCCAUGAGGACAGGUAAGGCACCCUUGACCAUGUGCUGAAAGGAAUCCUUGCUUCCUUCCAUGGCAUUUGUCAGGUAUCGUAUUGUAGCAGCCAGAAAGUAACAGGAACUUUAUUCGUGAUGAAUUUUCCUAUGAAACAGUUGGAAAGCUUUGGCAGAGAAGUUUCAGCUGAGCUUAGCUGGGCAAGCUUUGUAGGGAAUGAGAAUGUUUAUUCUUCACCUACUGAGGGCAAUGUAGCAGACCGUUUGGUAGGGAAAAAUGAGCUUAACCUUGGUCAGUAGUAGAACCUUUCAAGUUGUGUUCAUAUGAUGGAAACUCAGGCUUUUCUUGCUCC
ensembl:lncRNA